CUGGUCUUAGCUCGUAUGCCGUAGCCUGACGGAGCACGCCGCGUGAGGGAUGAAGGCCUCUGGGCUGUAAACCUCUUUUCUCAAGGAAGAAGAUCUGACGGUACUUGAUGAAUAAGCCACGGCUAAUUCCGUGCCAGCAGCCGCGGUAAUAAU
rnacentral:rRNA from 1 species